GCCUACGGGAGGCAGCAGUAGGGAAUUUUCGUCAAUGGGGGGAACCCUGAACGAGCAAUGCCGCGUGAGUGAAGAAGGCCUUCGGGUCGUAAAGCUCUGUUGUAAGAGAAAAACGAUGGAUAGAGGGAAUGCUAUGCAAGUGAUGGUAUCUUACGAGAAAGUCACGGCUAACUACGUGCCAGCAGCCGCGGUAAUACGUAGGUGGCGAGCGUUAUCCGGAAUGAUUGGGCGUAAAGGGUGCGUAGGCGGCCUGCUAAGUCUGGAGUGAAAGGUACCGGCUCAACCGGUACAGGCUCUGGAAACUG
rnacentral:rRNA from 1 species